AUGACGAAGCCGCCGCCGACGGAAGACGGCGACCUGCUGCCCACCGACUGGUCAUGGGAAAGCAUGCCGACGUCCUUCACCAAGGAGGAGAUGAUCUUCUCCUACGCGCUGCACCCGGAUGGGCGCACCAUAUUCGUGUCCUCGUGGAGCAGGGCGGUCUGCAGCACAUACUCCGUCGACACCAGGAGCUGCAAGUGGAGGCGCCAUGGGGAGUGGAUGUUGCCUUUCAGAGGCCGAGGCUACUUCGACGCCGAGCUAGACGCGUGGGUCGGGCUGCACGAGGACGGCUACAUCUGCUCCUGCCUGGUCGCCUCCCGCAGCGACGGCGCCACCGCGCAGCAGCCAGAGUGGAAGAUGGCCGACGAGCAGAGGAUAUGGAUCCCGUGGCAUCAAUUGUCACUCAUUUUGCUCCGUAUGUAA
rnacentral:rRNA from 1 species